rnacentral:rRNA from 1 species
GAUGAACGCUGGCGGCGUGCCUAAUACAUGCAAGUCGAGCGAACAGACGAGGAGCUUGCUCCUCUGACGUUAGCGGCGGACGGGUGAGUAACACGUGGAUAACCUACCUAUAAGACUGGGAUAACUUCGGGAAACCGGCGCUAAUACCGGAUAAUAUAUUGAACCGCAUGGUGCAAUAGUGAAAGACGGUUUUGCUGUCACUUAUAGAUGGAUCCGCGCCGCAUUAGCUAGUUGGUAAGGUACCGGCUUACCAAGGCAACGAUGCGUAGCCGACCUGAGAGGGUGGUCGGCCACACUGGAACGGGGACACGGUCCAGACGCCUAAGGGAGGCAGCAGUAGGGAAUCUUCCGCAAUGGGCGAAAGCCUGACGGAGCAACGCCGCGCGAGUGAUGAAGGUCUUCGGAUCGUAAAACCCUGUUAUUAGGGAAGAACAAAUGUGUAAGUAACUGUGCACGGCUUGACGGUACCUAAUCAGAAAGCCACGGCUAACUACGUG